GAGAAACCCAAAACAACAAGAUCCUACUUAUUACAAAAAAUAUUUGAUAUUGUACAAAAGAGGAACGUGGAAGAGGCUUCUAGUCUAUUCUUGUACUCCAUCAGUGUUGUCUUUUUUGCCUUACCUUGCACUAAAUUCAUGUUCUCGAUUCAUUCUUCAUCUAUGAUAUCAGCUCACAUCGAGUUCAUUCUUUGUGACUGCUUGCCUUACUCCAUCUAACGAUACCAGCUGAAUGAGUUCUCUAAUUUGUCGCUCAAUGGGUUGAAUCCCAGUGGGAUUAAUACCACCAUUUGAGUUAGAUCUGUGAACUCAUCCAUGUAGUACCUAUAUUGGAGUAGCAGAAUUUUAGGUUCAUUAUGAACUUGAUUUCAUCCAUACACCCUGUAUCUCCUUUCUAAAUGACCUUCUAAUGAUGAAAUGUAGCUGAAGGAGGACAACUAAGACAACAAAUUUUCUUUUUCGCAACUCUUUAUCCUAACAUGAACUUUUUAAGUUUGAGUUGUUCACAUAAGACACUCUACGAAUGCCAUGAAAACCCACUCAAUGAAAACUUCUUUGACUCAAUAACGUCAGAUCUGGUAUACCAACUUUUUCAUUUAUCUCGAUUACAACCAAGUUAUUAUUGUAAUUCUAGUUUCCGUGUAUGAUAAUUUUCUAUUUUCC